UUGGUGUGAAUUGCAGAAUCCCGUGAACCAUCGAGUCUUUGAACGCAAGUUGCGCCCGAGGCCAUCAGGCUAAGGGCACGCCUGCCUGGGCGUUGCGU
rnacentral:rRNA from 1 species